rnacentral:snRNA from 1 species
GCCUGAGCGGGGUAAAGCCAGA